GGCUGGUACUAUCGCUGCCUCGGCGUCGACCCCUGAACUCGCCAAUCCAUAUCGAAUUUCAGUGUUUUACAGAUUUUCUUUUCGAUAAAUUAAAAAAGAAAGAAUCCAAAUUCUCUGUUUUUAACCAUUAUUUGAUCUUCAUUGAGAUCUUCUUUUAUCUGUUUAUUUUUUUUUUCGAUUUGCUUGAAAAAACAAAAAAUGUUGCUUUACAAACCCAAGAAGA
rnacentral:misc_RNA from 1 species